UGCUAGCCCUGAUAGCAGUGGAAAUCCUUUUAUUUUUUAUCUAAAAAAUAAAAGAUUGUAACGGAUAGCGGGAAAUUGC
rnacentral:sRNA from 1 species